rnacentral:tRNA from 1 species
GCCUUCGUGGUGUAGCGGCCAGCACGCUCGACGCGUAACCUAGAUGUCAGUGGUUCGAUUCCCGGCGAAGGCG